AAGUCGUAACAAGGUUUCCGUAGGUGAACCUGCGGAAGGAUCAUUAACACGUAUCCAAACGUUAACCCCCCUGUGAACCUUUAGUGUGCUCGUACGCUUUGUCAGAGCGUGGCAAUCCCUAGUAAAUCAUCGCCGAACAGUUUUCGAUUUAGGGACUUCCACAAAGAGUGUGCUCGUAGCGCGAGGCAAGUGGCCUGGCAUUCCCAAGCAGUUGGUGUCUGAAAGUGUCACUGGCUGUGUAAGGAUGGCGCAGUCACGAUCGUUGGGCUCACGCCCCUUAAUCACAACUUAAUGCAUGUCAGACGCGCCUGCGCUUAAUUGUGCGGCGACCAUAAAACUCGAACAAUGGAUAUCUUGGUUCUC
rnacentral:misc_RNA from 1 species